CGGCCCGGCCGGGGCCCAUCGCGAGCUGCCGGGUAGGUAAAAGAAAAAAAGUUGUUAAGAGGCGCGGUGUCGGCGUGCUUGUAUUUGCGGGAGAGAAUUAUCUGGGGGUGCUGGGUAGCCGGGAAGACUUGGACGGAUCUGGCCCGGGAAUGGGUCUGGGCCUGGAUUCUGGUGUGGUGUAGGGUAGGCGUAGAUAGAUGAGUGGUCUAGGGUAGAUACAGGGUAGCCAGACGUCUGGUAUAUAGUAUGGGGGUGUAGGGUAGGUCUGGACACCGUUUUCCACUUCGCCCUUCCCUUUAGUCGAGGGAGGACGAUCUUGGCUGGGACGGAGGUGUAGGGUAGGCUUAAUUUACGAUUACAUGAUCUGUGUCACUCUAGGGUAGGUGAAAAUCCCAUAUAUAUCUGAUCACAUUUGGUGAAGAGGUGGUUUGGCUGGUGAGAUGGACAAAAGUGCAAUGUAGAAUGAUAUGUGAUUUUGCAAAAGUGGGUGUGAAAUUGGAAAGUCGGUUUUCCCGCACAGAUGAGAGCACGUUUGAGGUGCCAUGAGAUGCACCUCUCCGAGACGACCUCAACGGUACCACCCAUGUGUUGGUCGGGCUCCUGUGCGGCCGUCCAGGGCGGGAUAAGUAGAGAAUGUGGUGGUGUAGGGUAGGUGACCAGGUCCAGGGUAGGUUCGCCAAAUCUGUCAAUCCGGCUUGAAUCGAAGGACAGGUCUAGGGUAGGCCAGAGUCGGGUCUAGGGUAGGCAACCCUCACCCUCGAAGUGGUCUACCCGGUAGCCAACUUCAAUCGCCUCUCACGGCCGCCACGGACCUCGCAUGACGACGGGACUACCACCAUCGGAUUCGCCUUGGUCGAAAUAGCUGGUAUACGCACUUUUGAAAAAAUGCGUGCAAAAUGGUUUUGUGGUUUGGUGGCCGUGAGUCGAUUUUUUUGUUUUCUCAUACAAAUGAAUUUUGCGGAAAAUAAAAAGUGGCCCACGAGGCAGUCCUGGCGUGCGGCCCACUAAAACGGUCUCGGAGGGUAUAUGAGAAGGGAGCAAAUCCGGCCGAGCCUGAAAGGGUGAGGACAAACCGGGCGAGCAACCUCUCAGUAUCAGAUCUUGCAGACUUCCACUGCGUGUCCCUCUGUACAGCUUUGCAGGCUCCGGCCUCGGCAGCGGGGGGUUCAUAGUGGUCGUCGACCUCCACGAAACUGCACGCUCCGGCGUGACAGCGUACUGGGGAUGCCUGUGUAGAUGCAGUCCGGGCUUGCCUGGACCGCUAGCAGAUGGGCUCUGUGGAUGACUGGCCGCUGGCUAGACCUGAAACCUGAGCAACGGGAGGUAACCUCUCGCCGCGGACACCGGAAUGGUAGAAGCGGCGUGCUGCGUCCUCCUCUUGGGGCCCCUAAGCCACACCUCCCACAGCGGGUUCGGUGCGGCGGACGGACGCCCUGGGGAAUUUAGAGGGGGAAAGCGGAUUGCCCUAGCGGUGUUGUUGGCCCUGCCGACCUCACUGCGAAAGGCGCGACUUCACCGUCGCCACCCAGUAACUUGUC
rnacentral:misc_RNA from 1 species